AUUUUUCCUCCCCCUUUUUAUUUCUUUUUCUUUCUCUUUUCUUUUU
rnacentral:ribozyme from 1 species